rnacentral:rRNA from 1 species
CCUACGGGGGGCAGCAGUGAGGAAUAUUGGUCAAUGGGCGCGAGCCUGAACCAGCCAAGUAGCGUGAAGGAUGACUGCCCUACGGGUUGUAAACUUCUUUUAUAAAGGAAUAAAGUGAGGCACGUGUGCCUUUUUGUAUGUACUUUAUGAAUAAGGAUCGGCUAACUACGUUCCAGCAGCCGCGGUAAUACGGAGGAUCCGAGCGUUAUCCGGAUUUAUUGGGUUUAAAGGGAGCGUAGAUGGGUUGUUAAGUUAGUUGUGAAAGUUUGCGGCUCAACCGUACAAUUGCAAUUGAUACUGGCAGCCUUGAGUACAGAUGAGGUAGGCGGAAUUCGUGGUGUAGCGGUGAAAUGCGUAGAUAUCACGAAGAACUCCGAUUGCGAAGGCAGCUUACUAAACUGCCACUGACAUUGAUGCUCGAAAGUGUGGGUAUCAAACAGGAUUAGAUACCCCAGUAGUC